GAUGAACGCUGGCGGCGUGCCUAAUACAUGCAAGUCGAGCGAACAGACGAGGAGCUUGCUCCUUCGACGUUAGCGGCGGACGGGUGAGUAACACGUAGGUAACCUACCUAUAAGACUGGGAUAACUUCGGGAAACCGGAGCUAAUACCGGAUAAUAUUUCGAACCGCAUGGUUCGAUAGUGAAAGAUGGCUUUGCUAUCACUUAUAGAUGGACCUGCGCCGUAUUAGCUAGUUGGUAAGGUAACGGCUUACCAAGGCAACGAUACGUAGCCGACCUGAGAGGGUGAUCGGCCACACUGGAACUGAGACACGGUCCAGACUCCUACGGGAGGCAGCAGUAGGGAAUCUUCCGCAACGGGCGAAAGCCUGACGGAGCAACGCCGCGUGAGUGAUGAAGGUCUUCGGAUCGUAAAACUCUGUUAUUAGGGAAGAACAAACGUGUAAGUAACUGUGCAUGUCUUGACGGUACCUAAUCAGAAAGCCACGGCUAACUACGUG
rnacentral:rRNA from 1 species